rnacentral:rRNA from 1 species
GACGAACGCUGGCGGCGUGCUUAACACAUGCAAGUCGAACGGAAAGGUCCUGCUUUUGUGCGGUGCUCGAGUGGCGAACUGGUGAGUAACACGUGAGUAACCUGCCCUUGACUUUGGUAUAACUUCAGGAAACUGGGGCUCUUACCGCAUAGGAUCUCUUGCUGCAUGGUGGGGGUUGGAUAGAUUCGGCGGUUGGGGAUGGACUCGCGUCUUAUCCGCUUGUUGGUGGGGUAGUGGCUUACCAAGGCUAUGACGGGUAGCCGACCUGGGAGGGGUACCGGAGACACUACGAUGGAGAUACGACCCAGACUAGAAUCGGAGGCAAGGGAGGAGAGGAUGACAGAGUAGGAGGGAGGAAGGUAUGACCACGCAGCGUGCGGGAAGAGAGGCUUGGGGUUGUGAACAAAUGUCGCCUGAGACGAGGAGUGAGUGACGGUAAUGGGUAAAGAAGCACCGGCUAACUACGUG